rnacentral:tRNA from 1 species
GCCCGGCUGGCUCAGACAGUGGAGUGUGUGACUCUCGAUCUCGGGGUCAUGAGUUCGAACCUCAUGUUGGAUA